UGGCUCAGUGGUUAAGAGCACUGGCUGCUACUCCAGAGGGCCUGGGUUCGAUUCUCAG
rnacentral:tRNA from 1 species